rnacentral:lncRNA from 1 species
GACAAACACCCUCCCCAUUGGCUGGUUAACACUGGAGAGUGCUCAACGUGGUGCUUGGUUCAGAGGCCCCUCCCAGGGUUUAAAUCUACCAGAGAAAAUAGGAGUUAUUUCAAAACGCUGCUGUGUCAUAUGAAUUUCCAAAAACAAAGGAAAGGCUUGGGAGAGGGGAAUAAGUAGGUGCUCUACUUCCUGCACUUACCACUGAAGUGUCUUCAAGAGGCUGAUUUCUCAAUCCCCGUGUGUCCUUCAGAAGAGAUGGAGACAGUGUAUCCUAACUCAUGUGGGACAGGGUGGGGUGGCGGAUGGGGACUUG